rnacentral:rRNA from 1 species
UGGGGAAUAUUGCACAAUGGGCGAAAGCCUGAUGCAGCAACGCCGCGUGAGUGAUGAAGGCCUUCGGGUUGUAAAGCUCUGUCUUUUGGGACGAUAAUGACGGUACCAAAGGAGGAAGCCACGGCUAACUACGUGCCAGCAGCCGCGGUAAUACGUAGGUGGCAAGCGUUGUCCGGAUUUACUGGGCGUAAAGGAUGCGUAGGCGGAUUUUUAAGUGAGAUGUGAAAACCCUAAGCUUAACUUGGGGACUGCAUUUCAUACUGGAAAUCUAGAGUGCGGGAGAGGAGAAUGGAAUUCCUAGUGUAGCGGUGAAAUGCGUAGAGAUUAGGAAGAACACCAGUGGCGAAGGCGAUUCUCUGGACCGUAACUGACGCUGAGGCAUGAAAGCGUGGGUAGCAAACAGGAUUAGAUACCCUGGUAGUCCACGCCGUAAACGAUGAGUACUAGGUGUAGGAGGUAUCGACCCCUUCUGUGCCGCAGUUAACACAAUAAGUACUCCCGCCUGGGGAAGUACGAUCGCAAGAUUAAAACUCAAAUGAAUUGACGGGGGUCAUAGCUGUUUUUCCCU